UGGGGAAUUUUGGACAAUGGGCGAAAGCCUGAUCCAGCAAUGCCGCGUGUGUGAAGAAGGCCUUCGGGUUGUAAAGCACUUUUGUCCGGAAAGAAAUCCUUGGCUCUAAUACAGUCGGGGGAUGACGGUACCGGAAGAAUAAGCACCGGCUAACUACGUGCCAGCAGCCGCGGUAAUACGUAGGGUGCAAGCGUUAAUCGGAAUUACUGGGCGUAAAGCGUGCGCAGGCGGUUUGCUAAGACCGAUGUGAAAUCCCCGGGCUCAACCUGGGAACUGCAUUGGUGACUGGCAGGCUAGAGUAUGGCAGAGGGGGGUAGAAUUCCACGUGUAGCAGUGAAAUGCGUAGAGAUGUGGAGGAAUACCGAUGGCGAAGGCAGCCCCCUGGGCCAAUACUGACGCUCAUGCACGAAAAGCGUGGGGAGCAAAACAGGAUUAGAUACCCUGGUAGUCCACGCCCUAAACGAUGUCAACUAGUUGUUGGGGAUUCAUUUCCUUAGUAACGUAGCUAACGCGUGAAGUUGACCGCCUGGGGAGUACGGUCGCAAGAUUAAAACUUAAAUGAAUUGACGGGGUCAUAGCUG
rnacentral:rRNA from 1 species